rnacentral:rRNA from 1 species
UCGGGGUAUUAUUGGGCGUAAGGGCUUGUAGGCGGUUUGUCGCGUCUGCCGUGAAAUUCCCUGGCUUAACUGGGGGCGUGCGGUGGGUACGGGCAGGCUUGAGUGCGGUAGGGGAGACUGGAAUUCCUGGUGUAGCGGUGGAAUGCGCAGAUAUCAGGAGGAACACCGGUGGCGAAGGCGGGUCUCUGGGCCGUUACUGACGCUGAGGAGCGAAAGCAUGGGGAGCGAACAGGAUUAGAUACCCUGGUAGUCCAUGCUGUAAACGUUGGGCACUAGGUGUGGGGAUCAUCCUUGGUUUCUGCGCCGUAGCUAACGCUUUAAGUGCCCCGCCUGGGGAGUACGGCCGCAAGGCUAAAACUCAAAGGAAUUGACGGGGGCCCGCACAAGCGGCGGAGCAUGCGGAUUAAUUCGAUGCAACGCGAAGAACCUUACCAAGGCUUGACAUGCACCGCGACACUGCAGAGAUGUGGUGGCCUUCGGGGUGGUGCACAGGUGGUGCAUGGUUGUCGUCAGCUCGUGUCGUGAGAUGUUGGGUUAAGUCCCGCAACGAGCGCAACCCUUGCCCUAUGUUGCCAGCACGUUGUGGUGGGGACUCGUGGGGGACUGCCGGGGUUAACUCGGAGGAAGGUGGGGAUGACGUCAAAUCAUCAUGCCCCUUAUGUCUUGGGCUUCACGCAUGCUACAAUGGUCGGUACAGAGGGUUGCGAUGCCGUGAGGUGGAGCGAAUCCCUUAAAGCCGGUCUCAGUUCGGAUUGGGGUCUGCAACUCGACCCCAUGAAAGUGGAGUCGCUAGUAAUCGCAGAUCAGCAACGCUGCGGUGA